UAUACAAAAUAUGACCUUUGAGGAGUCUAUUUAGCAUGUGGUCAUGACUGCCAUUCAAGAGCUCAUGAGCAAGGAAAUAACAGGUCCUUCCACAAGUGAUGCAUCAAGUGAAAUUGAACAGCAGGGGGAUGAUGCAGCAGAGGAGCAGGGGAGCAAGGGAUGGGGGCACCUCCCCAGAAUGCUGAAUGCUGAAAAUUCUUGGAGGGGAUCACAAACUAUUGAAAAUGUAAGUAUGAGUGUGAGGUGAC